GUGCAGGGGCUGGAAGGGACCUUCGGGUCAAUGGUCAGGCCUCCUGUCGGUUCCCAAAUCCCCUGCCACCCGGCGCCUUUACCAUCUCUAGAGACGGGCAGCGAGCUACGUGUAGAAACAGCGGGGGUCACCGUCACCUGUUAGGAAGGCCUCCCUUCACUGGGCUCGAAGCGGCGGGUCUGUGCCUGUACCCUCUGUUCGCCUUCUCUGAGCCUCCCCCUGGCCCUGGAUCAUAUGGAAGCAAAUCCUGGCCACCCUCUGCCCCUCGGGAGGGGUGCUGCUCCGAGUGGCGGCAGUGCCUUUCCGGCCGUGUGGCUGGCACAGAGAGACAUGGUCUCGAUCCUCCACGGCCAUGACCGUCCAGAGGCAGCUUAUGCUCGGCGGGUGGCCCUGCUGCUGGCACCUCAUCCCGUCACCCUGUCACACCACACCCCUCCUCUACUGCUCUGGCCCCAGGGAAAGCCCUCCAGUUGCCAGCCAGUCAAGACCUUUCAGUAUCGGCUAGCGUGA
rnacentral:lncRNA from 1 species